GCUUACGGCCAUACCACCCUGAAUGCGCCGAUCUCGUCUGCUCUCUGAAGCUAAGCAGGGUCAGGUCUGGUUAGUACUUGGAUGGGAGACCGCCUGGGAAUACCAGGUGCUGUAAGCU
rnacentral:rRNA from 1 species